rnacentral:rRNA from 1 species
GUGACGGCGUGCCUAUUGAAUAAUGAGCCUACGAGUUACUAAUCACUAGCGAGGUUAAGUGCAAGGAUGCACGGAGCCGAAGCGAAAGCGAGUCUGAACAGGGCGUUUAGUUAGUGGUUGUAGACGCGAAACCUUGCGAUCUACCCUUGAGCAGGUUGAAGGUUGGGUAAAACCAACUGGAGGACCGAACGAAUAAGCGUUGAAAAGCUUCUCGAUGACUUGAGGGUAGGGGUGAAAGGCUAAUCAAGCUGGGAAAUAGCUCGUACUCCCCGAAAUGCCUUUUGGGGCAGCGUUGUAAUAAAGAGUCUACUGGAGGUAGAGCUACUGAUUGGAUGCGGGGGCUUCACCGCCUACCAAAUCCUGACAAACUCCGAAUGCCAGUAGUAUGAUUUACAGCAGUGAGUGACUGGGUGCUAAUGUCCAGUCGCAAAAGAGGAACAACUCAGACCAGCAACUAAGGUCCCGAAGAAUAUGCUAAGUUGAUCUAACGAUGUUUUGUUGCAGAGACAGCUAGGAUGUUAGCUUGGAAGCAGCUAUUCAUUCAAAGAGUGCGUAACAGCUCACUAGUCGAGCGACAGAGCGUGGAUAAUAAACGGGCAUCAAGCAUAUCACCGAAGUUCUGGGCGCGAGAGCGCGGUAGGGGAGCAUUCCAUUCAGCGUCGAAGCAGUUUCGUGAGGAAUUGUGGAGCGUAUGGAAAAGCAAAUGUAGGCAUGAGUAACGAUAAUGCGGGAGAGUAACCCGCACACCGCAAGACCAAGGUUUCCUGAUCAACGCUAAUCGGAUCAGGGUUAGUCGGGUCCUAAGGGUAAGCCGAACGGCGAUCUCGAUGGAUAAUCGGUUAAUAUUCCGAUACUAACAUAUACCUCGAUGGAGAGACGAAGGAACGUAAGUGCCGCCACCUGACGGAAUAGGUGGUUAAAGGGCUUAGGUAUAGGGACAGAUUAAGAGUUAGUCCUUGCUGAAACCUGACAGUACAGAGAGCCUACGGGCAAUUUGAUAGUGCACCCAAGUCGACUUCCGAGAAAAUCUUCUAAGUUAUAGUAUAUGUCACCCGUACCGUAAACCGACACAGGUGGUCGAGGAGAGUAUCCUAAGGUGCUCGAGUGAAUCACGGUUAAGGAACUAGGCAAAUUAACCCCGUAACUUCGGGAAAAGGGGUCCCAUCGCGAGGUGGGCGCAGCGAAGAGGUCCAGGCGACUGUUUAUCAAAAACACAGGGCUCUGCAAAUUCGAAAGAAGACGUAUAGGGCCUGACACCUGCCCGGUGCUGGAAGGUUAAGAGGGGAUGUCAUCGCAAGAGAAGCAUUGAAUCGAAGCCCCAGUAAACGGCGGCCGUAACUAUAACGGUCCUAAGGUAGCGAAAUUCCUUGUCGGGUAAGUUCCGACCUGCACGAAUGGUGUAACGAUCUGGACACUGUCUCAACCGUGAGCUCGGUGAAAUUGUAGUCCCGGUGAUGAUGCCGGGUACCCGCAACGGGACGAAAAGACCCCGUGAACCUUUACUAUAGCUUAACGCUGAAUUUGGGUACACAAUGUGUAGGAUAGGCCGGAGGCUUUGAAGCGGGCACGCCAGUGUUCGUGGAGCCGACGUUGAAAUACGGCCCUUUGUGUAUUUGAGUUCUAACCCUGCGAAGGGGACACCGUUUGGUGGGUAGUUUGACUGGGGUGGUCGCCUCCAAAAGCGUAACGGAGGCUUCCCAAGGUACCCUCAGCACGAAUGGUAACCGUGCGCGGAGUGCAAUAGCAUAAGGGUGCUUGACUGUGAGACAUACAAGUCGACCAGGUACGAAAGUAGGGUAUAGUGAUCCGGUGGUUCUGCGUGGACUGGCCAUCGCUCAAAGGAUAAAAGGUACUCCGGGGAUAACAGGCUGAUCGCCGCCAAGAGCUCAUAUCGACGCGGCGGUUUGGCACCUCGAUGUCGGCUCGUCACAUCCUGGGGCUGGAGAAGGUCCCAAGGGUUCGGCUGUUCGCCGAUUAAAGUGGCACGCGAGCUGGGUUCAGAACGUCGUGAGACAGUUCGGUCUCUAUCUGUUGCGGGCGUAGGAAGAUUGAGGGGUCCUGACUUUAGUACGAGAGGACCGAGUUGGACGAACCUCCGGUGUAUCGGUUAUGCUGCCAAGUGUACUGCCGAGUAGCCGCGUUCGGUCUGGAUAAGCGCUGAAAGCAUCUAAGCGCGAAGCCAUCCCCAAGAUAAGUCUUCCCUUGAGGGGCGUAGGAGACUACUACGUUGAUAGGCUGCAGGUGUAAAGACAGCAAUGUCAAAGCCGAGCAGUACUAAUUACCCGAUAGGCUUUCUUUUU